rnacentral:rRNA from 1 species
AUACGUAGGGUGCGAGCGUUGUCCGGAAUUACUGGGCGGAAAGAGCUCGUAGGUGGUUUGUCGCGUCGUCUGUGAAAUUCCGGGGCUUAACUCCGGGCGUGCAGGCGAUACGGGCAUAACUUGAGUACUGUAGGGGAGACUGGAAUUCCUGGUGUAGCGGUGAAAUGCGCAGAUAUCAGGAGGAACACCGGUGGCGAAGGGGGGUCGCUGGGCAGUAACUGACGCUGAGGAGCGAAAGCAUGGGUAGCGAACAGGAUUAGAUACCCUGGUAGUCCAUGCCGUAAACGGUGGGCGCUAGGUGUAGGGGUCUUCCACGACUUCUGUGCCGUAGCUAACGCAUUAAGCGCCCCGCCUGGGGAGUACGGCCGCAAGGCUAAAACUCAAAGGAAUUGACGGGG